rnacentral:rRNA from 1 species
GAAAGAUGAAAAGAACUUUGAAAAGAGAGUUAAACAGUAUGUGAAAUUGUUGAAAGGGAAACGAUUGAAGCCAGUCGUACCUUCGGGUAAUCAGCCUUUCGGGUGCGAUUCUGUGGAGUUUGAGGAGCUUAACACCUUCAUGCUUUGCAUAUUCGUGCUCUUGGGUGUACUUGCUCGUAUGGUUGGUUAACAUCAAUUUUGGUGGUCAUAAAAUGACUGGAGGAAUGUAGCUUCGAUCUCGUAUUGAAGUGUUAUA